AUACGGAGGAUCCAAGCGUUAUUCGGAUUUAUUAGGUUUAAAGGGUGCGCAGGCGGAAAUGUAAGUCAGUGGUGAAAUCCUACAGCUCCACUGUAGAACUGCCAUUGAUACUGCGUUUCUUGAGUAUAGUUGAAGUAGGCGGAAUGUGUAGUGUAGCGGUGAAAUGCAUAGAGAUUACACAGAACACCAAUUGCGAAGGCAGCUUACUAAACUAUUACUGACGCUCAUGCACGAAAGCGUGGGGAGCGAACAGGAUUAGAAACCCUAGUAGUCC
rnacentral:rRNA from 1 species